UCGGGAAUUUUGGGCAAUGGGCGAAAGCCUGACCCAGCAACGCCGCGUGAGGGAUGAAGUAUUUCGGUAUGUAAACCUCGAAAGAAUGGGAAGAAUAAAUGACGGUACCAUUUAUAAGCUCCGGCUAACUACGUGCCAGCAGCCGCGGUAAUACGUAGGGAGCAAGCGUUGUUCGGAUUUACUGGGCGUGAAGGGCGCGUAGGCGGCGCGGUAAGUCACUUGUGAAAUCUCUGAGCUUAACUCAGAACGGCCAAGUGAUACUGCUGUGCUAGAGUGCGGAAGAGGCAACCGGAAUUCUUGGUGUAGCGGUGAAAUGCGUAGAUAUCAAGAGGAACACCUGAGGCGAAGGCGGGUUGCUGGGCCGACACUGACGCUGAGGCACGAAAGCGUGGGUAGCAAACA
rnacentral:rRNA from 1 species